UACGUAGGGUGCGAGCGUUAAUCGGAAUUACUGGGCGUAAAGCGCGCGCAGGCGGUUCGUUGUGUCCGUCGUGAAAGCCCCGGGCUUAACCUGGGAACUGCGAUGGAAACUAGCAAGCUGGAGUGUGGCAGAGGGGAGUGGAAUUCCGCGUGUAGCAGUGAAAUGCGUAGAGAUGCGGAGGAACACCGAUGGCGAAGGCAGCCCCCUGGGCUAGCACUGACGCUCAGGCACGAAAGCGUGGGGAGCAAACAGG
rnacentral:rRNA from 1 species